rnacentral:rRNA from 1 species
UACGAAGGGGGCUAGCGUUGCUCGGAAUUACUGGGCGUAAAGCGCACGUAGGCGGCUUCUUAAGUCGGUGGUGAAAUCCUGGAGCUCAACUCCAGAACUGCCUUCGAUACCGGGAAGCUCGAGUCCGGGAGAGGUGAGUGGAACUGCGAGUGUAGAGGUGAAAUUCGUAGAUAUUCGCAAGAACACCAGUGGCGAAGGCGGCUCACUGGCCCGGUACUGACGCUGAGGUGCGAAAGCGUGGGGAGCAAACAGG